GGCGCUAUCGUCUAGUGGCCUAGGACGCAUCCCUCUCACGGAUGAAACACGGGUUCGAUUCCCGUUAGCGCUACCA
rnacentral:tRNA from 1 species